rnacentral:piRNA from 1 species
UCAUUCUCUGCAGAAAAUGAGUUGAUAG